CCUUCUCGUAGAUGCAUUCUUUCGUAAGGAAGCCAACAAAGCCAAUCCAAGGAGCUUCGACACAACACAAAUCCUCCAAUGAAUAUGGCUUUCCAACAAAUCGUGUAAAACAUCUUUUUAUUCCCUUUGGAUGUUCAUCAUCUUUACCUGCAAAUGUCACACACCACCGUUGCCUCUUCCGCGAAGCUCCAUUUCUGAUAACAACCAUCGCAGACUCCGACCGCAUCCUCCGACGAUUUGAG